rnacentral:rRNA from 1 species
GAUUAUGGCUCAGGAUGAACGCUAGCUACAGGCUUAACACAUGCAAGUCGAGGGCAGCAUUGGGAUAGCUUGCUAUCCAGAUGGCGACCGGCGCACGGGUGAGUAACGCGUAUCCAACCUUCCCUAUAGUAGAGAAUAGCCCGGCGAAAGUCGGAUUAAUGCUCUAUGUUGUGUUUUUGAGGACAUCUGGCGAACACCAAAGGUUCACCGCUAUAGGAUGGGGAUGCGUCUGAUUAGCUUGUUGGCGGGUAACGGCCCACCAAGGCAACGAUCAGUAGGGUUCUGAGAGGAAGGUCCCCCACAUUGGUACUGAGACACGGACCAAACUCCUACGGGAGGCAGCAGUGAGGAAUAUUGGUCAAUGGGCGAGAGCCUGAACCAGCCAAGUAGCGUGCCAGGACGACUGCCCUAUGGGUUGUAAACUGCUUUUAUCAGGGAAUAAAGUGAGGGACGUGUCCCUUUUUGUAUGUACCUGAUGAAUAAGGACCGGCUAAUUCCGUGCCAGCAGCGGC